rnacentral:rRNA from 1 species
GAUGAACGCUGGCGGCGUGCCUAACACAUGCAAGUCGAGCGGAAAGACGCGGAGCUUGUGCCGUUGACGUUAGCGGAGGGCGGGUGUGUAACGCGUGGAUAACCCACUUAUCUUUCGGGGAUAACCACGGGAAACCGGCGAUAAUAGCGGAGAAUAUAUUGAACCGCAUGGUUCAAUGGAGAAUGACGGCUUUGGGGUAUCUAAUAGCGGGUUACGCGCUGGAUUAGCUAGUAGGUAAGGUAACGGCUUACCAAGGCGACGAUGCGUGGCCGACCUGAGAGGGUGAUCGGCCACACUGGAACUGAGACACGGUCCAGAGUCCUACGGGAGGCAGCAGUAGGGAAUCUUCGGCAAUGGGCGAAAGCCUGACGCAGCAACGCCGCGUGUGUGAUGAAGGCCUUCGGUUCGUAAAGCCCUGUUAUGGGUUAAGAACAGCUGUCGAAUUAGCCGAAGCCUUCGUGACGGUACCUAAUCAAAAAGCACCGGCUAACUACGUG